GGGGAGUAUUUUUCACCGCAGAGAACCGAAGAGGACAAUGCCUCCAUUUUGUUUGAGCCGCUGCAGCACAAACUGAAAUUGACACAGCGAUUGAAAAUGAAAAAUUCAACCCGCGGAGGAAACGUCCGAGCUGCGUGUGAACAGAUCAGUAGGAAUAAUAUCUGCUGGCAAACAUCUGUCACAUCCACUAUCGGACUCGCAGCACAGAAGGCUGGACGUUAUGAAGUGGGACUCAGACGUCACUUAGGCAGCACCAGUAAACAUGGAAGCUCUUCGCUGAUCCACAAAGCAAAAACUGUAGUUCAACACAAGCUGCAUCUCGAG
ensembl:lncRNA